rnacentral:lncRNA from 1 species
ACAUUGAUUUCAACUUUUAAGAACUGUGAACUUUCUGCUCUUUUGUAAGCAACAGAGAGGGCAGUCACCUUGUGGACACUCACAGGAGUUACAGAGGAGAAUUACAGUGGAGAUGCCACGAAACACUGCUGUUGAAGGAGGUUUUCAUGGAAAUACCUCCAAUUCAUUUGAAGGUUUUUCAGUUCUUAGUGGCUGACUAAAAGCACUCAGCACGUUACUCGCCUCCAGCGCAGCUGAAUGAUCUGCUGAACUGGUAAUAUGAAAUAGCUGGGAAACAGCAUCCUGCAUGUCAUUUUCUCUCCCCUUUCAG